UUACGGCAAUAUCACGUUGAAACACCGGUUCUUGUACGACCACCGAAGUUAAGCAAAGUCGAACUUGGUCAGUACCUAGAUGGGUGACCGCUUGGGAAUACCAG
rnacentral:rRNA from 1 species